rnacentral:rRNA from 1 species
UACGUAGGGUGCAAGCGUUAAUCGGAAUUACUGGGCGUAAAGCGUGCGCAGGCGGUUCUAUAGGACAGAUGUGAAAUCCCCGGGCUCAACCUGGGACCUGCAUUUGUGACUGCAUCGCUAGAGUACGGUAGAGGGGGAUGGAAUUCCGCGUGUAGCAGUGAAAUGCGUAGAUAUGCGGAGGAACACCGAUGGCGAAGGCAAUCCCCUGGACCUGUACUGACGCUCAUGCACGAAAGCGUGGGGAGCAAACAGG